rnacentral:rRNA from 1 species
AUUGAACGCUGGCGGCAUGCCUUACACAUGCAAGUCGAACGGUAACAGGUCUUCGGAUGCUGACGAGUGGCGAACGGGUGAGUAAUACAUCGGAACGUGCCCGAUCGUGGGGGAUAACGAGGCGAAAGCUUUGCUAAUACCGCAUACGAUCUACGGAUGAAAGCGGGGGAUCUUCGGACCUCGCGCGGACGGAGCGGCCGAUGGCAGAUUAGGUAGUUGGUGGGAUAAAAGCUUACCAAGCCGACGAUCUGUAGCUGGUCUGAGAGGAUGAUCAGCCACACUGGGACUGAGACACGGCCCAGACUCCUACGGGAGGCAGCAGUGGGGAAUUUUGGACAAUGGGCGAAAGCCUGACCCAGCCAUGCCGCGUGCAGGAUGAAGGCCUUCGGGUUGUAAACUGCUUUUGUACGGAACGAAAAGCCUCUUUCUAAUAAAGAGGGGUCAUGACGGUACCGUAAGAAUAAGCACCGGCUAACUACGUG